UGGUGUCCCGGCAGGCUGCCUGCAACCUCCUUUUUUCCUUCCAGGAAACAGCUCAGAUCCCUCCAAGAAGAGCUACGUGGUUCAGUGGCUGUCCCGGCCUGAUCCUGAUUCGCCCAUCCAGAAGAUCUCGUCAAAAACACUAUGUAGAAGAUGCCUUAAAGUUGAAAGCUAACAGAACUGGCUGCGCACUCCAGCCUUAGAUGGGGGAUGUGAUCCGAGUAGGAGACAGGCACUGAAGAUCUAGGGGGACCCUGCCCAUUUUGCCCACCUUUUGCCAAGGGUAAGGUUUCUAAAUCCAUGUGGCCCUGCUCCCUCCCUGAGCCGUCUCUGUGUGAAGGGACUUAGCAGGCAACUCUGUCUAUCUCUGACAAAAGGGGUCCUCCUCCAAUGCCCAUCUGGCCAGUUGGCGCCGACUGUUUUGUGGAGACUCCCACAAGGGGCUCCCACAGCGCGGCCUUACACCCAGAGGGUGACACACCUGGGUCCUUAGCCGUGACCAAUGUAGCACUCCCAACUGACUGGUCCCACCAGCCCCACCUGGCCCCCCCAGCCACCUUCAUCUGUUAAUAAUUCAAGUUCCCGCUGGGCCAUGCGGCCAAGUCUCCUCCUACUCCCCUUGGCACUAAUUACUGUUAUGUAAAUAAUUGGUGUGUAACUGCAAAUUAAUCCUCUCACGACUGUUAACUUCCAACUUUGACGAGGCAAUGUGAGUGAUCUCUGUGGUCGCAGUCACGGGGCGCGACACGGUCCUGGGCAUUUGCCUCCUGUCUGUAUGCACUUUGGUUUAUCAGGGAUAUUUUAUUAGUGUUUUGUAUGUACUUAAUGACGUAUCACGUAGGUUCCGUUGUCGUCGUCGUCGUUGCUUUUCUGUUGUUGUUGUUGUUGUUUUCUUUCUUUCCAUGAGACAUUAGCGUGUGCCAAAGUGACUGUGAAAAUGACCUUUUAAUUCUUACUAAUGAUGGAAAGACCUCUUGUCAUGCAUCUCACAAAUAAACUUAAUAAAAGUUCAGUUCAACUGGGAAAAAAAAAUAAA